CUAUGUUACGACUUAUCUUACCUUAAUAAUAAGAGCGACGGGCGAUGUGUGCAUAUUUUAGAGCUAAAAUCAAAUUUUUUAUCUUUAAAAUUUUACUAUCAAAUCCAAUUUCAUUAAAAAUUUCAAAUUUAAAUCCACAAAUAAAUUUAUUGUAACCCAUUUCUACUUAAAUAUAAGCUACACCUUGAUCUGAUAUAUAAUUUAAUAAAAAUUAUAGAAAAUUAUUAUUCUAAUGAAAUAUUCUAAUAACGACGGUAUAUAAACUGAAAACAAAUUUAAGUGAGGUACAUCGUGGAUUAUCAAUUACAGAACAGGUUCCUCUGAAUAGACUAAAAUACCGCCAAAUUUUUUAAGUUUAAAGAACAUAACUAAUACUACCUUAGUGUUAUUUAUUUACAUUUUAAAUAAUAGGGUAUCUAAUCCUAGUUUA
rnacentral:rRNA from 1 species